UUUACCUAUGUUUUGUGCUGUCCCAAUGAUGAUGGGCUAUAAUGAGAAAAUUGCUACUUCAAGAUCAAUUAUAACUUCCCUAUCAAACUUAGAAGUUCAUGCUUUUUAUGAAAAACUAUUCGUUUUGACCUUGCUAUGAUCUGAGUAUAUAUUUCUUGAGGUUGCUUUUAUCAUGUAUUACAUUAGUGUCUGAGUUUCCAUGUACCAUUUCGUUGACACGUCCCAGAGGGAAUACUUCAAGCAAGGAAAACUGGAACAAUUCCGUCAAAUUCUGGAGGAAGGGUCUAGUCCAGAUAUUGAUGAGUUCUAUGCUAAUGUUAGAUAUGAAAGAAUCGCAAUCUUAAAUGCCUUGGGUGCUUACUACCACUAUCUUGGAAAAAUUGAGACAAAA